UCCUCUUCUCCAGCGCUCUUCCCUUGCCCUCGGCGGCCGGAGCCGGAGAGGCCAACUUCCACCAACUUGUUCCACUCCGGCCAGCCACAGUUGAACCCCCUCCACGCCAACACAGCUCGCAUUCACCAUCGCAGCCGCCCGUUCUCCCGACUCCCGCCCGACUCGACGGCCUCGGUCGAUCGGUCCUCUGCUCGCCUCACGCCAUGCCCACCUCCCGCACGACGGAAUGCCGAACCCGGACCCGCCGCUGCCCCCUUCCCUCUUCAACUCCCUCAUCGCCUCCCGCGCCCGCGCCGGCCGCGCGGCCGACGCCUUCUCGCUGCUCGCGCGCAUGCUCGCCGCGGGCGUCGCCCCGACCGCGUUCACCUUCGCGCCGAUCCUCUCCUCGCCCUCCGUGUGCCCCCGCCGCGCCGCGCAGCUGCACCCGCACAUCCUCAAGCGCGGCCUGCUCCAUAGCGGCCCGUACUCCGGGACGGCGCUGCUGGGCUUCUUCGCGCGGCACGGACGGUUCGGCGAGGCGCUCGACCUGUUCGGCGAAAUGCCCGCACGGAGCGUCGUCACCUGGAACUGUCUCGUCUCUUCGUUCGCGCAGCAUGGGCAUGUCCAGGACGCCGUGUUUUGGUUCAGGGAACUCGUGAGGAGCAGCGAUGGCUUGUCUGAAGGCUCUCUCGUUGCGGUCUUUCCUGCACUUGUGUCACCGGACCCAGUUCAUGGGCUUGCCAUCAAAACCGCAAUGGAUUCCUUCUCGGCAGUUGCUAACUCGUUGCUGAAUUGUUACUGUACUCGUGGUACAGUUUGCGCGGCAGAGAAGCUAUUUAAUGGUUUGAUGUUCAGAGAUGUGGUUUCGUGGAAUACAAUGAUCACUGCUUUCGCUAGGAGUAACUUCCCAGGGAGAGCUUUUGAGCUUUUCUCAGCGAUGCAUCGUCAGGGUGUUUCUCCAGAUGAAACUACAUUUUCCAGUGUUCUUUACGCUGGCACCAGUAUAAAUGCACAGGAGCAUGGGAAGUCUGUUCACGCCAAAUCUAUCAAGCAUAACCUCAACACGACAGUAUUUGUGAGUACUUCACUGGUUGAUUUCUACAACAAAUGUGUUGGUAGGAGGGACGCUCUUAAAGUACUCAAAGAGGUUCCUCAUAAGAGCACUGCAUGUUGGAAUGCUCUGCUUUCUAUCAAGUCAGAUGGUGAUUUUCCAACUCUGUUUAUGAUUCUGAGAGAUAUGUUGCAAUCAGGGAUUAGCCCAAAUGAAUUUACCUUUUCUUCCUUGCUCAAGGAUCCAUCACUGUUGGAUGUGCAUCAGAUUCACUCAUUGGUCAUAAAACUGGGUUAUGACGGUAAUGACUAUGUUUCAAGUGCUAUUAUAUCUUCCUAUGUCUCACAUGGCUUUGUUUCUGAUGCCCUCGCUUAUGGAGUUACAUUGGAUCCUGACUCCUGUAAUGUCUCCAUGAAUGUUUUAGCUGGGGCAUAUAAUAGAGCUCACAUGUACCAAGAGACCAAGGAGCUACUCUUACAUCCGAAAACGAGUGAUACUAUUUCAUGGAGCAUACUUAUUACUGCUUGUGCAAGGAAUGGUGAUUAUGCUGAAGCUUUUGGACAUUUCAGACAGAUGAGAAUUUUGGGGCAUCAUUUUGAUAACUAUGUAGCUGUGAGCUUGCUGAGUAUUUGUACAAAAGUUAACAGCCUUGUUCUUGGUAGGCUGGUGCAUGGGGUAAUCACCAAGACCAGUUAUGGGUGCUCAGACACUCGUACUAAUAAUAUGUUGCUAGAUAUGUAUGCUAAAUGUGGUAGAAUUGAAGACUGUCUGAAAGCCUUUGAGGAAAUGGAAGAUAGGAACGUAAUCUCAUGGACAGCUGUGAUUUCAGGCCUUGCACUUAACGGUUUUUCUCGUAAGGCCCUGGCAUGGUUUAAAGCUAUGGAAGAGGCUGCUGUCAAACCUGACAAGGUAGCAAUUCUGGCAGUCCUUUCAGCUUGUAGACAUGGAGGACUUGUGCAGGAGGGAAUGGAGAUAUUCAAACGUAUGGAAGCUGAUUACUCAACUGAAGCUGGGAUGGAGCAUUACAUUUGUGUGGUGGACAUGCUAUGCAAGUGUGGUCAUUUAAAGCAAGCUGACUCUGUGAUUAGAGGCAUGCCUUUCCGCCCGAGUACUAUUAUUUGGCGCACAUUCAUCCAAGGAUGCAAUACAUAUGGCAUGCUAGAUACUCAAGUGUUUAGCUAGUGAUGGUCUUGGUAAACAAUGGAGGUGGGUGUUUUCUCACAUGAAUUCAGAAAAUGGUUGUUGCCAAAUUAAUAUUUAGACCAUACUAGAUAUCAAAUGAAUUUUGGUUGCACAUAGUGUUGAUAUUGUUACAGUAAUGUAAGCUACUCCCUCCGUAAACUAAUAUAAGAGCGUUUAGAAUACUAAAGUAGUGAUCUAAACGCUCUUAUAUUAGUUUACAGAGGGAGUAUCAUUUAAUUCAUAUGUUUGAACAACCUAGUAAUGGAGGAUAUGUGAUUGCUGGGCACCUUUAUCAACCACUUCACCUCUUUUGUUCGCUCCAUUAUAUCUAUGAUGAAGGGUGUUGAUUGGAAACGUCCUCAUUUGAUGAAUCUUUUCUGGUUGGUGGUUCAUUGUGGGUCGGCAUUUCUUUGCUCCCUUCCAUAGUUCCUUUGGUUUGGCUUUGUGUUCUGUCAUCAUCUAGUGGCUAACUACAGAAGGAAAAUGCCUUGCUCUUUCUGCAUGGUGUUGCAAACUAGCAAGAGGUGUUCCGCGUCCAUGUUGUUACCUUCAUGGUCAGAAUUGUGCAACAUGGAGGAGGAGAAAAGGAUGGCUUCUAUUCCAGUUGACCUGAAUAUGUGGCCCUUAAAGAUCCAACCUCCAUAUGGUCAAUGAAAUGUUCACUUUGGCAGUUAGAAUUUGAAACUGGUCGUCAUUCUUUGUGAAAGUUGCAAAGGUGGUGUGAAGGUCCACAAAGAAAAAUGGAAAUGUGUACCUAGUUAGAAAUAUCUGAAGAAAUAUUGUACAGUGACUGAAUUCAGUUAUUCAGGCAAAAGGAGAGUAAAAGGAGAAAGGCUGUUCUUGAAAUACCAAGGUGUGGUAGCCACUUGCAGCCUAUGAAAAUGUGAAAAAUGACAGGAACGUGUUCAGUAAGAUCCCCUCCUAUUUACUAUGCUUGACUUGUGAAUCUAAUUGAUGGUGAUCUGCAUGAUCAUACCAGACCAAUGCAUUUAUAAUGAUUAGUAUAGUGAGGCUGCUGUCACCAGGUGUGUUUCCUGCUCAAUGAGUAUCUGAAACGUGGAUUCCUUUUUCAUAAACAAGUUCUUGUGAGGCGCCUCUUAGCAUCAUGGAUUAGUCAGCCAAGGUCGUUAGGCUGUGGCAAAUCGGUUGCAAAGAUGAUAAAGUACGAGUCAGCACAGAGGCAUUAACUAAUUAUCAGAGGUACACAGGCUUUUGACGAAGCAUGCACAUUAGUAGCAAAAUAUGGGUUAUAUAAUACCGAAGCAUGGGCUUAUAUUGGCUAUUGCUUUUCAUUCCACUAGGCAUUGUCUACGUAGCUCCAACGGUUCGCGUUUACUAAUUGAAUGAUGACCAGGCACUGUUGUCCUGGUACUAUAAAGGUGAUCUGGUCAAAGAAUUCAAAGCAUUAUCUAAUCCAAUGGCUGGUGGGCUGAGAUAUCAUGACCUCCGUAUCAAGCUGGGAUUGCAAAGAUUGACAGUUGAAGGAAGAUCUAGCUUUACUAGAUAGUACAUGUCUAACGAUUUUAAAUUCUGAUUAAUUUUGGUUGCUGCCAUAUCUUAUGCGUGUUGCAAGGUACUUAGUGUAUCUCUGAAUUGUAGGCAGAUAAACUGGCAUUGUCCUUGGUACGACACCUUGAUGCAGAUUGCAA